AUUCCCUACGGGGUGCAGCAGUCGCGAAAACUUCACAAUGGGGGAAACCCCGAUGAGGGAAUUCCAAGUGCCAGCACAUUGUGUUGGCUGUUCUUUGGUCUAAAAAACCAGAGAAGUAAGGGCCGGGUAAGACGGGUGCCAGCCGCCGCGGUAAUACCCGCGGCCCGAGUGGUGGUCGAUAUUAUUGAGCCUAAAACGUCCGUAGCCGGUUUUGUAAAUCCUUGGGUAAAUCGACCAGCUUAACUGUUCGAAGUCCGGGGAGACUGCAAGACUUGGGAUCGGGAGAGGUGAGAGGUACUUCUGGGGUAGGGGUAAAAUCCUGUAAUCCUAGAAGGACCACCGGUGGCGAAGGCGUCUCACUAGAACGAAUCCGACGGUGAGGGACGAAGCCCUGGGGCGCAAACGGGAUUAGAUACCCCGGUAGUCCAGGGUGUAAACGCUGCGGGCUUGGUGUUGGGGGUCCUUUGAGGGCGCCCAGUGCCGGAGAGAAGUUGUUAAGCCUGCUGCUUGGGGAGUACGUCCGCAAGGAUGAAACUUAAAGGAAUUGGCGGGGGAGCACCGCAACGGGAGGAGCGUGCGGUUCAAUUGGAUUCAACACCGGACAACUCACCAGGAGCGACGGUUACAUGAAGGCCAGGCUGAUGACCUUGCCUGAUUUUCCGAGAAGUG
rnacentral:rRNA from 1 species